GGACAAACCCUAACCUGGCUGGGGGUCUUCUUUGCCCCACUUCUUCCUGUGGUCCAAAUCCUCAAAUUACUGCUCUUGUUCUAUGUUAAGAAGGUCAGCUUGAUGAGAAAUUGUCAGUGUCCCAGUAAACCCUGGCGUGCAUCUCAUAUGAGCACCAUCUUCAUCUCUUUGUUGUGCUUCCCUUCAUUCCUGGGUGCCUCCAUAUUCCUCUCCUAUACCAUCUGGGC